AAUCAGUCACUUGCCAGUCAUGUGUUGCAUCAUUAGCCAACAAGUUCAAUGUUUUGGGAGAAAAUAAUACCCCACUCCUUCCGUAACAACCAACCCUAGCCGCCCCAUUCCCAUUUUCUCUCACAUCUCUCCUCUCUAGAAACUGAAAAGAUCUUAUCUUUCUCAUCUCAAAUUGCCUCUACUUGUAAUUCAUUAAAGCGAAAUGUCACCGACUCAAAUUGCAACAUAAAAUGUUAUCUGAUUUAGAGAAAAGUCUUCAAUGUUGAUCUAAACGGCACUGUUAUAUCUCAAACACAAGGGGUUUAUGCAGCUAGCUUCUAUUCAAAAUGGACAUUGAUACAUGCUUCCAAUGGCUAUGGAGUACGGACGGAGGUAGAAUAUCGAGUUCUGUUCUGUUCCAGAUUGAUGUCAAUUCAGCUCUAAUCUAUGGCUUGAGGAAAUUCAAGAUCAUCCAACGUGAUAAGGAGCAACACGAGAAUGAAGGCCAUGACACUUGAGCUUAUAAGCUUCUACCACCACUAGAUCCUAGUUUUUUCUAGGCUUUAGUUCUUCGGUUUAGUAGAUACAAUUUGUACUUUUGAUUAUAUUUUGGACUAUUUAGUUAGUAACAUUUAUGUACUAUAUGAAUAUGGUUAGUAACAUUAUCAUGUACUAUCGAUAUAUUAUGGUUAAUUAGUACCAUUACCUUGUACAAUUGAUAUAUUAUGGUUAAUUAGUACCAUUACCAUGUA